CAAUUAUUUCCUCUCUCUUACCAAAACACCACGAAAGAGGAAAUCCCUCUUUCUGCUCACCACUUACCAUCAUCACUCGACUCUUUCUCAGAAGUUAAGUGAGAUUAUGAUUCUAAAAUCUAAACUUGAUAAUUAAACAACCCUCAUCUAUCGAUCUUUCAUUUUUGGAUUUUUCGGAGAUAAAAACCCUUGUUGUUUCUCCAAACUUUACCUAAUAUAUUUUUUGCAAGAUGAUUUAUUUUCUGUAAUUUGAACUGAUUUUAGUUCGAUGUAAUUGAAUAUAUUUUUCGUUGAUGAGAAGCUUUUGAUUUGAUUUAUUCAUUCUUGUUUUGUGUUUAUGUGAUAUUGAGGUAAAAAAGAAAAUUUGAGUUUGGAUAGAUCGGGUUUGAUUUUCAUCUGAAACUUUACUUAUUCAUAUUUUGGUUUGCUUUUCGUUGUAGACAAAGAUGGUGAUGAGGAGUUUCAAAGGCAAUUUGGUUUGGAUUUCGCUGGUGGCGGUGGUUUAGUCAUUUCAGUGUCUUGAGGAAUUUUUUUAACACCUCUAAUUUCAGAUUGGGCUUCUCUAUCAGAUCUUCAUGUAAGGUUCAUUGAUCUUUAGCUUGUGCUGGAAAAGUUAGAGAACAAACCCCGAAGGUAGAGCUCACAAGAGGGUGCAAUACAACAAAUGUUUUCAUCACUGCUGCUUGUUUCUAUUCUUUUGAACACUGAAUUUUGUUAUGUAGAUGACUCUCAGCUAUAGAACUUGUAAGUUCGUAUCCAUCACACUGUUUUUAUGUUCAGUAAAAAUAUUACAUGUUUUUGCUUGGUAAAGUUUACUGUGUACUUCCACUAUGUGUUGCCUUGUAACUGAUUUUGAAUUCAAUCUACCUAUAAUUGCUCAUUGUGUUUUAUUCGUAGAUGAGAUGGUAUCGAUGAAUCUGCACUUGGUCAUCUCUCCCUGGUUCUCUACCCAAUUAGAUUGUAUGAUUGUUUUUGAAUCCCUAUUUCCCAUUUACUACUAGUGCACUUAAGAGUGCCCAUUACUUGUAAGGUACAUCUCAGUCAAUAAUCAAGUUUGGUUGUGGGUUCCUUGAAGGUUUACAGGGCAACAGGGAGCUGUGCAAUUUCAAAUGAAAGUUGCGAACAAUAAGGCAACUUAUCAGUUCCAUUUGGACAGUAUUUGAUGAACUUGGAUUUAUCAGUUUGGUUUGUUCAUUUUCUUGGUUUUAUCUUUAUCUAUUGCCUAUCUCCUGAGAUGUAUGUUUUUGGUGCUAGAAAUCCAAGCAACUGUUCCUGUUUAGGUGAGACCUGUCUGCGCAAUUAAAUAGGAUACAUAAUUUAAAUAUAUGCCUACAUGUCUCAGAGAGAAAUUUUCAAGGAAGAUGCAAAGUAUGGGAAUGAAUUAAUAGGAGGAGGAGAUUUCAUUCUUGGAUAAUGGAGAUCAAUGGAAUUAUAUUGCUAUGCGAUAGCUGGACUAAGUGACAUCGAAGGGUGCUUGAAACCAGAAGAACUAUGGAUGUUGUAAAAUUAAGUGAUCUGUAGCAACUUUUAUCAUGUGUGUUGAAGUGUAAUUUUUAUGUAUUUCAAGUUUACUUUUAUGUUGGUUAACUCACAUUAUUUUGAUAUAGGUGCUCCUACUGAAACUCGUUUUAGGUACGGUUCUGAUGAUCUUGACCUCUCGCAUAUGAAUUAGCAAGCUUUGUGAAGGCAAUGGAUGCUGUCGGUGAAUCUGCACUAGAUCGUCAAUCCUGCUCUUUCUCGGUGAAACUUCUCCUGAAGAAGCAAUCUGAAUCCUGCUGGUGCACAUCCUCUAACUGGACAUUGUGUUUUCAAUGUAAAUGGAUGCUAUCGGUGAAUCUGCACUAGAUCGUCAAUCCUGCUCUUUCUCAGUGAAACUUUCUCCUGAAGCAGCAAUCUGAAUCCUGCUAGUGCACAUCCUCUAAUUUUACAGUACUUGAACAAGGAAGUAACUAAGUUAUUCAUAAAGGUGUUGCUGCCUAUGAAUGCAAGAUCGUUGAAGGGUGCAAUCAUCAGUUACUAUGAUUUGUGAAUUGUUGAAGGGUGCAAGAUCCGAUGCUUGUGAAUUGUUGCUUAUGGUUGCGGCUGCAAUGGUGUUACUUUGUAGCAGACGACCGGAAGUUGCUGCAUUUAAGUUCCAUGGCUACUAAAUGUACCUGCAAUAGUGACUGGUGGAGGUAAAUACUUUGUCCUUGACCAGUAGAGUUUAAAGUUCCCCAAGUUCUGUUUCUUGUGACCAAGGAAGCUGGUGCCCAGGUCAUAAUCACUGAAAUUGAUGAUAAAAUCCUUGUAAAUUGAUAGUUUUUUCUUUAGGAGAGUAGUAGCACUUGAACCCUAUUUGUAUGAUUUUGAACUAAAUUUUCAAUUUAAUGAAUGGAAUUGGCAUUUUGUAUGAAAUGAAUUAUUAUUUGUAUUUCAUCUGAA